rnacentral:rRNA from 1 species
UACGUAGGGCGCAAGCGUUAUCCGGAAUUAUUGGGCGUAAAGAGCUCGUAGGCGGUUUGUCGCGUCUGCCUUGAAAGUCCGGGGCUCAACUCCGGAUCUGCGGUGGGUACGGGCAGACUAGAGUGAUGUAGGGGAGACUGGAAUUCCUGGUGUAGCGGUGAAAUGCGCAGAUAUCAGGAGGAACACCGAUGGCGAAGGCAGGUCUCUGGGCAUUAACUGACGCUGAGGAGCGAAAGCGUGGGGAGCGAACAGG